UGGGGAAUAUUGGACAAUGGGCGCAAGCCUGAUCCAGCCAUGCCGCGUGAGUGAUGAAGGCCUUAGGGUUGUAAAGCUCUUUUACCAGGGAAGAUAAUGACGGUACCUGGAGAAUAAGCCCCGGCUAACUUCGUGCCAGCAGCCGCGGUGAUACGAAGGGGGCUAGCGUUGCUCGGAAUCACUGGGCGUAAAGCGCACGUAGGUGGGUCGUUAAGUCAGGGGUGAAAUCCCGGAGCUCAACUCCGGAACUGCCUUUGAUACUGGCGAUCUUGGAGUCCGGGAGAGGUGAGUGGAACUGCGAGUGUAGAGGUGAAAUUCGUAGAUAUUCGCAAGAACACCAGUGGCGAAGGCGGCUCACUGGCCCGGUACUGACACUGAGGUGCGAAAGCGUGGGGAGCAAACA
rnacentral:rRNA from 1 species